rnacentral:tRNA from 1 species
AAUAAAGUGGCUGAGUGUAGGCGGUAGAUUGUAAAUCUAUUAACGAGUAAAUCUCCUUUAUUA